GACGAACGCUGGCGGCGUGCCUAACACAUGCAAGUCGAGCGGGGAUUUAAGUGGAAGUUCUUCGGAAUGGAGCUUUAAAUUCUAGCGGCGGACGGGUGAGUAACGCGUGAACAAUCUGUCCCGGACAGGGGGAUAACACUUGGAAACAGGUGCUAAUACCGCAUAAGACCACGGCCUCGCAUGGGGCUGAGGUAAAAGGAGCAAUCCGGUUCGGGGUGAGUUCGCGUCCGAUUAGCUAGUUGGUGAGGUAACGGCCCACCAAGGCGACGAUCGGUAGCCGGCCUGAGAGGGUGAACGGCCACAUUGGAACUGAGAGACGGUCCAAACGCCUACGGGAGGCAGCAGUGGGGAAUAUUGGGCAAUGGGCGAAAGCCUGACCCAGCAACGCCGCGUGAGGGAAGAAGGUUUUCGGAGUGUAAACCUCUGUCCUAUGGGACGAAGGAAGUGACGGUACCAUAGGAGGAAGCCCCGGCUAACUACGUG
rnacentral:rRNA from 1 species